GGGAGGGACAGGGGGACGUGGGACAACGGUGGACAGCGGAGACGGACACGGGGACAGGGGAAUGGGUGGGGGGGGACCGCAGGACGGACAGGGGGACGUGGGGACAGACAUGGGGACACGGAGAUGGAUAGGGACGUCAGGACGGAUGCGGGGACACUGGGACAGACAUGGGGACCGCAGGACGGACGUGGGGACAUGGGGGCGGACUUGGGGACACGGAGAUGGACACGGGGACGUCGGGACGGACAUGGGGACUGCAGGACGGACGUGGGGACAUGGGGCUGGACAUAGGACAUGAGACUUCAGUAUGGGCAUGGGGACAGACGUGGGACUUUGGGACGGACAUGGGGACGCUGGGACAGACGUGGGGACACCGGGAUGGACACGGGGACAUCGGGUCGGACACGGGACACGAGACAUCAGGACGGACGUGGGGACGUUGGGACGGACGUGGGGACACCGCGAUGGCUGCGGAUCCUGCAGGACAGACGCACGGACAGCGGGACGGAUGGACGGACAGGCUGCAGGCCGGCCACGGGGACCCGGGGGGGGGUGGUGAGGGGUCACGCUCAGCGGCUGCGCCGUGGGGCGGGCGCUGCCCUAGAGGCGGAUGCGGCCGCUGACGAUGCCGUCCCAGUGCGCGGGGCCCAUGGGGACGUAGGCGCCCGCGGCGGCGUCCAGCAGCAGCAGCGGGACCAGGACACGAGCGGGGUCACAGCCCUCACGAGCCAGGAGCAGCUUCUGCUGCUUGAAGGUGGGCGUCACCUCCAGGCCGUCCUGGAGCAGCACGACGGGGUCAGCCCGACACCCCCCGCCAUGGGGUCACCCCAUGACCCCCCACCCCAAGGUCACCCCGUGACCUCACACUGGGGUCACCCCAUGACCUUCACACUGGGGUCACCCCACAUCACCCCACCCCAAGGUCACCCCAUGACCUUCACACUGGGGUCACCCCAUGUCCCCCACCCCAAGGUCACGCCCUGACCUCACAUUGGGGUCACCCCAUGUCCCCCACCCCAAAGUCACCCCAUGACCUCACACUGGGGUCACCCCAUGACCCCCUGCAUUGGGGUCACCCCAUGUCCCCCCACCCCAAGGUCACCCCAUGACCCCCUACAUUAGGGUCACACCUUGUCCCCCACCCCAAGGUCACCCCACGACCUCACACCGGGGUCACCCCACGUCCCCCCACCCCAAAGUCACCCCAUGACAUCACAUUGGGGUCACCCCAUGACCCCCUGCAAUGGGGUCACCCCAUUCCCUCUCACACCAGGGUCACCCCAUGACCCCCUGCAACGGGGUCACCCCAUGACUCCCCCCCAAUGGGGUCACCCCAUGCCCCCCCACACUGAGGUCACCCUACAUCCCCCCACACCAGGGUCACCCCAUGACUUCUCACAUCAGGGUCACUUGAUAACCCCCCCCCCCAGGCUCACCCCGUCUCCCCAUACUGCACUCACCCCACAACCUCCCACACCAGCGUUGCUCCACGACCCCACAUGGGGGUCACCCCAUCCCCCCCAACAUCGGGCUCACCCCACAAACCCCAUGACCCCCUCCUGGGCUCACUCCACGUUCCCGCACCCCG
ensembl:lncRNA